rnacentral:rRNA from 1 species
GAUGAACGCUGGCGGCGUGCUUAACACAUGCAAGUCGAACGGAAAGGCCGAAGCUUGCUUCGGUACUCGAGUGGCGAACGGGUGAGUAACACGUGGGUGAUCUGCCCUGUACUUCGGGAUAAGCUUGGGAAACUGGGUCUAAUACCGGAUAUGACGAUCUCUUGGAUGGGGUUGUGGAAAGCUUUUGCGGUGUGGGAUGAGCUCGCGGACUAUCAGCUUGUUGGUGGGGUAAUGGCCUACCAAGGCGUCGACGGGUAGCCGGCCUGAGAGGGUGUACGGCCACAUUGGGACUGAGAUACGGACCAGACUCCUACGGGAGGCAGCAGUGGGGAAUAUUGCACAAUGGGCGCAAGCCUGAUGCAGCGACGCCGCGUGGGGGAUGACGGCCUUCGGGUUGUAAACUCCUUUCGCAAUCGACGAAGCCUUUUGGUGACGGUAGGUUGAGAAGAAGCACCGGCUAACUACGUG